GUACCUGGAUACCUAUGGAGAGACAAUUGCCCUUCCUGAGUGCCUUGUUCCUGUAUUCAUCACGGUGGUCUUCAACAAUCAGACCUCUGCUCAAGACUGAGGGUGCAGAGCAAUCAUCACCUCCUCGCCCGCGCACCUGUUCUCAAUCAGCACUCAUCAUUGCUUGCAUUUAAGCGUGCCAGAUGCAGGGAUCCAGCGCCAGAGUAUUCACGCUCAUACGUGUGUCCUCCCGUGUCUCCCGCUCUGCUGCCCGUCCCGACCACGCCGUCAGGCUCUCCCACCUGCUCACGCUCCCGCCUCCUGCAACUCCCACCUCAUUAAAAUACCCCUCCCGUACAAAGAACCUCAUGUUCCUCCUCCCGAACCUUACUCUGGGGACCUAUGGAGCCGGGGCCGUUCUCUACAAGCGGGACCCCGAAUCCCGAAAAUUACAUCCCUGUGCCUUUUUUUCCAGUUGCCUUUCCCCGUCUGAAUGGAAUUACGACGUAGUGAAUCGUGAGCUGCUGGCCAUCGUCUGGGCCCUGCAGGAUUGGUGGCACUGGCUGGAGGGGACCGUAUCUCCUUUUGUCGUAUGGACUGACCAGAAGCAAAAUCAUACAUUGUAAAAAUGCAUUAUGCAUAGGUAGAAGGGUUUUCCAGACUUUUGAGGUCAACUUUGGGGGUGCGUAUUAUACAUGGGUGCACAUUAUAUACGAGAAAUGACGGUACAUGAAAAUGACUCAUA